GGGCGCUUGGCACAGGGGUAGCGCGCACGCUUCGCAUCAUGCGAUUGCGUGAGGUCGUGGGUUCAAAUCCCACAGUGUCCA
rnacentral:tRNA from 2 species